AGCUUUGCGCAGUGGCAGUAUCGUAGCCAAUGAGGUUUAUCCAAGGCAUGAUUAUUGCUAAUUAAAGGCCCUAUCUCCAAAUGCAGUCAUGUUGGGAGUUAGGGCUUUAAAAUGUGAAUUUGGGGGGGGACACAGUUUAGUCC
ensembl:snRNA U4 U4 spliceosomal RNA